UAUAUAGUCCCUCCGUCCGAAAAUACUUGUUGAAGGAAUGGAUGUAUCUAGACGUAUUUUAGUUUUAGAUAUAUCUAUUUUUAUGCAUUUUUCUGACAAGUAUUUCCGGACGGAGGGAGUAUGUG
rfam:Triticum aestivum genome assembly, contig: Triticum_aestivum_CS42_TGACv1_scaffold_503451_6BL